CUGCAACGCUGUGGGCUGGAGACCGCCACCCCCCCCAGCCCCACCCGAUGGUCCUCAGAAUCCCGCCGGGAACCACCUCCCCACCCCGCCGCGGGUGCACCCGGGGUUCGCGCCGCGGCCACAGCCCGGCCCCGUAUGCAAAUACCCGAGGGGCGGGCGCGGGCCGCCUCCCCGCUGCGGAUAAAAGCCCGGGGCGGGGCGCCGCGCAGAAGCCGCUGCCUCCCGGGAGCCGGCCGAGCGUUCCGUCCCCGCGCCUGUCUGCUGCACGCCCGCGGCCGCCGGCUCCCGUAACUGGAUAAAAGAAGGUGUGAAGCAUGUCGGAGUUUUGGUUAAUUUCUGCCCCUGGCGACCAGGAAAAUUUACAAGCUCUGGAGAGGAUGAACACCGUAACCGCCAAGUCCAACCUGUCUUAUAACACCAAAUUCUCAAUUCCUGACUUCAAGGUGGGGACCUUGGAUUCCCUUGUUGGCCUCUCCGAUGAGCUGGGGAAACUCGAUACCUUUGCUGAAAGCCUCAUAAAGAAGAUGGCCCAGAGUGUGGUAGAAGUCAUGGAAGAUGCCAAGGGGAAGGUUCCGGAGAACCUCCUAGCCAACGGAGGUUUGAAGGAAAAAAUGAAAUAUUUAAAGAUUGACUUAACAUCCUUUGUGACCCACUUUGAGUGGGACAUGGCGAAGUACCCCGCGAAGCAGCCGCUGGUGAGCGUGGUGGACACUCUGGCAAAGCAACUGGCCCAAAUCGAGACUGACCUGAAAUCCCGAACAGCCUCCUACAACACUCUGAAGACAAACCUGGACAACCUGGAGAAGAAAUCCAUGGGAAACCUCUUCACCCGGACACUAAGCGAUAUCGUGAGCAAAGAAGACUUCGUGUUGGGUUCUGAGUAUCUCGUCACACUUCUGGUCAUUGUCCCCAAACCAAGCUACGCACAAUGGCAAAAAACCUAUGAAUCUCUCUCGGACAUGGUGGUCCCUCGGUCGACUAAACUGAUUGCUGAGGACAACGAGGGCGGCCUCUUCACGGUGACCCUGUUUCGAAAAGUGAUCGAGGAUUUCAAAACCAAAGCCAAAGAGAACAAGUUCACUGUCCGUGAAUUUUACUAUGAUGAGAAAGAAAUUAAAAGGGAAAGGGAAGAGAUGAGCAGGUUGCUGUCUGAUAAGAAGCAACAGUAUCAAACUUCCUGUGUUGCUCUUAAAAAGGGAUCCUCCACCUUCCCGGACCACAAGGUUAAGGUAACCCCGCUAGGUAACCCCGCUAGGCCCACAGCGGGGCAGACGGACAGAGAGAGAGAGAGUGAGGGCGAGGGCGAGGUAAGCAGCACCCCUGCGGCCCUGGGCCCCCGCUCGCAUGUCCCGCUGGCGCAGGCAUCUUCGGAGGAAACGGCGCCUUGCGUUUUCUGUUCCCCAGUGUGGCUUGGGAGGGCUUCCAUCGAGGAGCCCAGAACGCUGCCUGCCUCCUCGUGUGGAGGGCGUCUUCGGAGCUGCCCCCCGCCCCCUGGCAUGGUGGCCAGGGGUCCUCUGCCCUGCCUGGAGGUGGCGGCCGCUGGUGACGGGGGCAGGCCCUGCUGGCUGGUGGGGGUCAGGCAGCUCGGCUCUCCUCCCCUGGCUGCGCUGGCUGGACCCACCCUUGACCUUUGUGGGCAGCGGAAGCAUCAGUGGGAGCUCGGAGCCUUGGCUCCAGGCGCUCGGGUUCCCCUAGAGGACCGGCCACGCCAGCCUCGGCGACCGGGGUUGUGGCCUCGGAGGUGGGCUCUGUGGAGUUCCCAGAAUCGGCAGCUGGUGGCUGAUGCCAGGACGGGGUUGUGGCAGGGGAUGUGAUGCGUUCCUCAGAGGUGGGCUCCCUGGUGGCCCAGUGUCGGGGGAAGCCCGUCCGCUGCUGCCCGGCCCCCCGCAGCCCGGUCUCUGGUGGCCCCACGCAUGUGCCAGGUGGCGGCCCGCUGAGCUUGCCGGGCACCCGGUGCCCCGGGAACGUGGGCCGGGGUCGGCCGACUCGCUGCUUCUGCUGGCCGCCGGGCGUCUCUCCGCGCGAGGCUUCGCUCUGCUGGGACCCGUGUUGCCCUUGGCCUGGCGUCUGGCGCCGCUGCCCGCGGGCGUCACCGGCUGUCCUGUCUCCGCAGGGCCCGCUGCUGCGCUGGCUCAAAGUGAACUUCAGCGAAGCCUUCAUUGCCUGGAUCCACAUCAAGGCGCUGAGGGUGUUUGUGGAGUCCGUGCUCAGGUACGGACUUCCGGUGAAUUUCCAGGCGGUGCUCCUCCAGCCUCACAAGAA